rnacentral:rRNA from 1 species
AGAGUUUGAUCCUGGCUCAGGAUGAACGCUAGCUACAGGCUUAACACAUGCAAGUCGAGGGGAAACGAUAUUGGAAGCUUGCUUCCGAUAGGCGUCGACCGGCGCACGGGUGAGUAACGCGUAUCCAACCUGCCCAUCACUUGGGAAUAACCUUGCGAAAGUAAGACUAAUGCCCAAUGACAUUUAUAGAAGGCAUCGGAAAUGAAUUAAAGAUUUAUCGGUGAUGGAUGGGGAUGCGUCUGAUUAGCUUGUUGGCGGGGUAACGGCCCACCAAGGCGACGAUCAGUAGGGGUUCUGAGAGGAAGGUCCCCCACAUUGGAACUGAGACACGGUCCAAACUCCUACGGGAGGCAGCAGUGAGGAAUAUUGGUCAAUGGGCGAGAGCCUGAACCAGCCAAGUAGCGUGCAGGAUGACGGCCCUAUGGGUUGUAAGCUGCUUUUAUAGGGGAAUAAAGUGAGCCACGUGUGGUUUUUUGCAUGUACCCUAUGAAUAAGGACCGGCUAAUUCCGUGCCAGCAGCCGCGGUAAUACGGAAGGUCCGGGCGUUAUCCGGAUUUAUUGGGUUUAAAGGGAGCGUAGGCCGGAGAUUAAGCGUGUUGUGAAAUGUAGAUGCUCAACAUCUGCACUGCAGCGCGAACUGGUUUCCUUGAGUACGCAUAAAGUGGGCGGAAUUCGUGGUGUAGCGGUGAAAUGCUUAGAUAUCACGAAGAACUCCGAUUGCGAAGGCAGCUCACUGGGGCGCAACUGACGCUGAAGCUCGAAAGCGCGGGUAUCGAACAGGAUUAGAUACCCUGGUAGUCCGCGCGGUAAACGAUGGAUGCCCGCUGUUGGGCCAACUGGUUCAGCGGCCAAGCGAAAGCAUUAAGCAUCCCACCUGGGGAGUACGCCGGCAACGGUGAAACUCAAAGGAAUUGACGGGGGCCCGCACAAGCGGAGGAACAUGUGGUUUAAUUCGAUGAUACGCGAGGAACCUUACCCGGGCUUGAAUUGCAGAGGAAGGAUUUGGAGACAAUGACGCCCUUCGGGGCCUCUGUGAAGGUGCUGCAUGGUUGUCGUCAGCUCGUGUCGUGAGAUGUUGGGUUAAGUCCCGCAACGAGCGCAACCCUUAUCUUUAGUAGCCAGCGGUUCGGCCGGGCACUCUAGAGAGACUGCCAGGGAUAACCUGGAGGAAGGCGGGGAUGACGUCAAAUCAUCAUGCCCCUUAUGACUUGGGCUACACACGUGCUACAAUGGCGUAAACAAAGGGAAGCAAAGCUGUGAAGCCGAGCAAAUCUCAAAAAUAACGUCUCAGUUCGGACUGUAGUCUGCAACCCGACUACACGAAGCUGGAAUCGCUAGUAAUCGCAGAUCAGAAUGCUGCGGUGAAUACGUUCCCGGGUCUUGUACACACCGCCCGUCACACCAUGGGAGUUGGGAAUGCCCGAAGCCAGUGACCUAACCGAAAGGAAGGAGCUGUCGAAGGCAGGCUCGAUAACUGGGGUGAAGUCGUAACAAGGUA